ensembl:lncRNA
UGGGUCCUGUCCCCUGUCCCUCGCCCCGGGCUGGCACCUGCGGGUGGCAGCGGCUCUGCCGGGACGGUCAUCGCCCGCCCCGUCCCCUGCAGCCUCCUGGGCAGCGGAUCCGUCCUCGCUGUCACCUCCUGGCAGGGGCGCUGCUGCCACAUCCAGGUGAGUGUCACCGGCCUGUGGCAGUGUCCCUGCUGCCACAUCCAGGUGAGUGCCACCGGCCUGUGGCAGUGUCCCUGCUGCCACAUCCAGGUGAGUGUCACCGGCCUGUGGCAGUAUCACUGCUGCCACAUCCAGGUGAGUGCCACCGGCUCCUGGCAAUGCUGCCAUGUCCAGGUGAGUGUCACCAGCUCCCAGGGACACAGGGCUGGGUCUGGCCCCAGCUAAGCCCGAGUCAAAGCCGAGCUAACACCGGGUUUAAAGCCCCGGGCAGGGAGCAGGAGGUGCAGGAUGCCCAACUCGCGGCACUCGCCCCGGCCCCCGGGAGCCGCCUGGCCCAGCCUGGGAAGGGCCGCGGGAGCUGCCGGGGGCUGCUGCCAGCAGAGCUAACGCCGUGCCCUGUCCCCAGCUGCGCCCCCUGUUCCUCCUGGCCCUGGCAGAUUUCCUGGGUGCCACGGCGCUGCUGGGCACGGGAACCAUCCCGCUGCUGCCGGCCCCCCUCUCCGUGCCCGCCUACGCCGCCUGUCCCUACGGGCGGAUGCUGACCACGGUAAGGGGACGCUGCUGGGGACAGCUGGGGCCUGUCUGCGGCUGCAGUGUCCUGGGGACACUGUCCUGGGGUCCCCCCCUCGGGAGGAACCUCUGCCGAGGGUCGGGCUGUGGAGCACGAGGAGGGAAUGGACGGGGGAGUGGGGGGUGUCGGGGGCAGAGGGAAGGUGGAAGGGGCCCUGGCGGCGCUGGACACCGCAGGAUGCCCGCUCCCCUUCCCUCUGCUCUGCCCCUCUCUCCCAGACCUCCUACGCCGUCUCGUUCCUCAUGGUCGCUGUUUACGCGUUCGAGUCGCACCGCACCGUGCUCGGGGGGCGAGCCCGGCCCCCGGCAGCGCUGCAGGUCCGUGCCUCGCCCGGCCACAGCCGGGACAGGACAAGCGAGCAGCGGGGCGAUCCGGGGCAGCCCCUUUCCCCGGGAAUCCGGGAUUUCCCCGGUCCUGGCGGAGCUGCGGCCACCCCUCCAGCCCCGGCUCACGGCGGUUCUCCCGCAGGAGCGGAGCCGCUGCCUGGAGAGCGCCUGGCAGGGAAUUCCGUACGUCCUGGCCUGGCUGGUGCCGGCGCUGACUCUCCUGGCGCAGCUGCUCGCCCGCGGCACCUCCGCCGCCGACAUCGCGCCCGUGGUGCCCUGGGCCGGCUCCAACGACACCUUCAGCCUUUACUGCUCCAGCUGCCUCCUCCUGAUCCACCCGAACCAGGACAUCUGCUCCCAGUCCGGCGGGGGCAAGAACGCGGGGCUGGAGGAGAAAAUCAUCUUCCUGCUGUACCUGCUGCUGGUGCUCGGCUGCUGCUCGCUCCUGUACCGGCGGGUGCGGCUCCGGUGCCGGGGGAACGCGGCGCUGCCGCUGCUGAGCCUGGACAGGGACGGCGGCUUCGGGGGCAGGAGCGGCCGCAGCGUCAGCAAAGCCUCGCUGUACUUCCAGCUGGUUUUCCUGCUCUGCUGGACGCCAGGCAAGGCCAGGGGGGUGUCCCAAAGCCCCCAGCCCCACAGGGUCACAGUGAGGGUGUCCCCAGGGUCACAGUGAGGGUGUCCCCAGCUCCCCCAGCCCCACAGGGUCACAGUGAGGGUGUCCCCAGCCCCUCAGGGUCACAGUGAGGGUGUCCCCAGCUUCCCCAGGGUCACAGUGAGGGUGUCCCCAGCCCCUCAGGGUCACAGUGAGGGUGUCCCCAGCUUCCCCAGGGUCACAGUGAGGGUGUCCCCAGCUCCCCCAGCUUCCCCAGGGUCACAGUGAGGGUGUCCCAGCUCCCCAGGGUCACAGUGAGGGUGUCCCCAGCUCCCCCAGCCCCUCAGGGUCACAGUGAGGGUG